rnacentral:rRNA from 1 species
GGCAGAGAUGCCUUGGUGCCUUCGGGAACGCUGAGACAGGUGCUGCAUGGCUGUCGUCAGCUCGUGUUGUGAAAUGUUGGGUUAAGUCCCGCAACGAGCGCAACCCUUAUCCUUUGUUGCCAGCGAUUCGGUCGGGAACUCAAAGGAGACUGCCGGUGAUAAACCGGAGGAAGGUGGGGAUGACGUCAAGUCAUCAUGGCCCUUACGAGUAGGGCUACACACGUGCUACAAUGGCGCAUACAAAGAGAAGCGACCUCGCGAGAGCAAGCGGACCUCAUAAAGUGCGUCGUAGUCCGGAUCGGAGUCUGCAACUCGACUCCGUGAAGUCGGAAUCGCUAGUAAUCGUGGAUCAGAAUGCCACGGUGAAUACGUUCCCGGGCCUUGUACACACCGCCCGUCACACCAUGGGAGUGGGUUGCAAAAGAAGUAGGUAGCUUAACCUCCGGGAGGGCGCUUACCACUUUGUGAUUCAUGACUGGGGUGAAGUCGUAACAAGGUAGGCGUAGCGAG